rnacentral:rRNA from 1 species
GUGGGGAAUCUUAGACAAUGGGCGCAAGCCUGAUCUAGCCAUGCCGCGUGAGCGAUGAAGGCCUUAGGGUUGUAAAGCUCUUUCGUGGGGGAAGAUAAUGACUGUACCCCAAGAAGAAGCCCCGGCUAACUCCGUGCCAGCAGCCGCGGUAAUACGGAGGGGGCUAGCGUUGUUCGGAAUUACUGGGCGUAAAGCGCACGUAGGCGGACUGGAAAGUCAGGGGUGAAAUCCCGGGGCUCAACCCCGGAACUGCCUUUGAAACUCCCAGUCUUGAGUUCGAGAGAGGUGAGUGGAAUUCCGAGUGUAGAGGUGAAAUUCGUAGAUAUUCGGAGGAACACCAGUGGCGAAGGCGGCUCACUGGCUCGAUACUGACGCUGAGGUGCGAAAGCGUGGGGAGCAAACAGGAUUAGAUACCCGAUAGUCC